UAGAUAGAUAAUACUUUAUUCGGCUAUAAGCCCACAAGGUAAAACAAAUCAAUAGAUAAAAAUCAAUAGAUAAAAUCAAUAGCAUUUUACAAUCUAAAAUAUCAACUAAAAUAUUUCAACGCAUAAUCUCUAACUGUACCGUGUUAUGGCCUUGAAGAUAAAGAUGGUGCAUAGAGUUUACUGAAUUUUUAAUAGUCAUGCAGCAUUCCCUGAAGUCUUUUAUAAGACAGAACUGAGAUCAGGAAUCUAGCAACCUGUAAAGUUCUAUAAGAGUCAAUGUCCUGGAGUAGAUAAGCUAGAUGUAAUUCAGGUGGUUUAGCAGCAAUUUCCAGGAUGAUUGAACUCAGGAUCCUUGAUCGGGGAACAUUGUAUAAGGGGCAAUUAAACAAGAUAUGAU